rnacentral:rRNA from 1 species
GACGAACGCUGGCGGCGUGCUUAACACAUGCAAGUCGAGCGGUAAGGCCCUUUCGGGGGUACACGAGCGGCGAACGGGUGAGUAACACGUGGGUGACCUGCCCUCAGCUCUGGGAUAAGCCUGGGAAACCGGGUCUAAUACCGGGUAUGACUCCAUGACGCAUGUUGUGGGGUGAAAGCCUUGUGCGGCUGAGGAUGGGCCCGGCGGCCUAUCAGCUUGUUGGUGGGGUGAUGGCCACCAAGGCGACGACGGGUAGCCGGCCUGAGAGGGCGACCGGCC